rfam:Vittaforma corneae ATCC 50505 unplaced genomic scaffold supercont1.12, whole genome shotgun sequence.
GUCCGAGUGGCCUAAUGGCAAGGCGUAGCUCUCCUAAAGCUGAGAUUGCGGGUUCGAGUCCCGUCUCGGACG